rnacentral:rRNA from 1 species
UACGUAGGGGGCAAGCGUUGUCCGGAUUUAUUGGGCGUAAAGAGCGUGUAGGCGGUCAGGUAGGUCCGUUGUGAAAGUCGAGGGCUCAACCCUCGAAUGCCGGUGGAUACUGUCGGGCUAGAGUACGGAAGAGGCGAGUGGAAUUCCUGGUGUAGCGGUGAAAUGCGCAGAUAUCAGGAGGAACACCAAUUGCGAAGGCAGCUCGCUGGGACGUCACUGACGCUGAGACGCGAAAGCGUGGGGAGCAAACAGG